rnacentral:rRNA from 1 species
GUGCCAGCCGCCGCGGUAAUACGGAGGGUGCGAGCGUUAAUCGGAAUUACUGGGCGUAAAGCGCACGCAGGCGGUUUGUUAAGCUAGAUGUGAAAGCCCCGGGCUCAACCUGGGAUGGUCAUUUAGAACUGGCAGACUAGAGUCUUGGAGAGGGGAGUGGAAUUCCAGGUGUAGCGGUGAAAUGCGUAGAUAUCUGGAGGAACAUCAGUGGCGAAGGCGACUCCCUGGCCAAAGACUGACGCUCAUGUGCGAAAGUGUGGGUAGCGAACAGGAUUAGAUACCCUGGUAGUCCACACCGUAAACGCUGUCUACUAGCUGUGUGUGCCUUUAAGGCGUGCGUAGCGAAGCUAACGCGCUAAGUAGACCGCCUGGGGAGUACGGCCGCAAGGUUAAAACUCAAAUGAAUUGACGGGGGCCCGCACAAGCGGUGGAGCAUGUGGUUUAAUUCGAUGCAACGCGAAGAACCUUACCUACACUUGACAUGCUGAGAAGUUACUAGAGAUAGUUUCGUGCCUUCGGGAACUCAGACACAGGUGCUGCAUGGCUGUCGUCAGCUCGUGUCGUGAGAUGUUGGGUUAAGUCCCGCAACGAGCGCAACCCUUGUCCUUAGUUGCCAGCCUUAAGUUGGGCACUCUAAGGAGACUGCCGGUGACAAACCGGAGGAAGGUGGAGACGACGUCAAGUCAUCAUGGCCCUUACGUGUAGGGCUACACACGUGCUACAAUGGCAUUUACAGAGGGAAGCAAGACAGUGAUGUGGAGCGGACCCCUUAAAGAAUGUCGUAGUCCGGAUUGGAGUCUGCAACUCGACUCCAUGAAGUCGGAAUCGCUAGUAAUCGCAGGUCAGAAUACUGCGGUGAAUACGUUCCCGGGCCUUGUACACACCGCCCGUCACACCAUGGGAGUGGGAUGCAAAAGAAGUAGUUAGUCUAACCUUCGGGAGGACGAUUACCACUUUGUGUUUCAUGACUGGGGUGAAGUCGUAACAAGGUAACC